UCACAAAAAUAGUCCUCAAAAACUAAAAUGACCAAAAUAGCAUUUUAUCUUUUGAAAAAUUUAAAUUUUUUUUAUUUUUCAAAAUUUGAAAUCUUAUCCCAGAAUCCCACUCCCCAACUCUAAACCCUAAAACCUAAACUCUAAACCCUAAACCCUAAACUUUAAACCCUAAACCCUAAAUCCUAAACCCCACCCCUUAACUAUAAACCCUAAACCCUAAACCCCACCCCUAAACUCUAAACCCUAAACCCUAAACUCUAAAUCCUAAAACCUAAACCCUAAAUCCUAAACUCCACCCCUUAAC
rnacentral:lncRNA from 1 species